CGCUUAGGCGUGUGACUGCGUACCUUUUGUAUAAUGGGUCAGCGACUUAUAUUCUGUAGCAAGGUUAACCGAAUAGGGGAGCCGAAGGGAAACCGAGUCUUAACUGGGCGUUAAGUUGCAGGGUAUAGACCCGAAACCCGGUGAUCUAGCCAUGGGCAGGUUGAAGGUUGGGUAACACUAACUGGAGGACCGAACCGACUAAUGUUGAAAAAUUAGCGGAUGACUUGUGGCUGGGGGUGAAAGGCCAAUCAAACCGGGAGAUAGCUGGUUCUCCCCGAAAGCUAUUUAGGUAGCGCCUCGUGAAUUCAUCUCCGGGGGUAGAGCACUGUUUCGGCAAGGGGGUCAUCCCGACUUACCAACCCGAUGCAAACUGCGAAUACCGGAGAAUGUUAUCACGGGAGACACACGGCGGGUGCUAACGUCCGUCGUGAAGAGGGAAACAACCCAGACCGCCAGCUAAGGUCCCAAAGUCAUGGUUAAGUGGGAAACGAUGUGGGAAGGCCCAGACAGCCAGGAUGUUGGCUUAGAAGCAGCCAUCAUUUAAAGAAAGCGUAAUAGCUCACUGGUCGAGUCGGCCUGCGCGGAAGAUGUAACGGGGCUAAACCAUGCACCGAAGCUGCGGCAGCGACACUGUGUGUUGU
rnacentral:rRNA from 1 species